CUGCACUGUUGGCUUUCCUACUUUUGCGGUUUUGGGACUCAGACUGGGUUUCUUGCUCCACAGCUUGCAGACAGCCUAUUGUGGGACUUCACCUUGUGAUCCUAGAGAAGUAAUAUGACACCAUAAAGAAACGUGGAUUGCAACAAAGAAAUAAAGAACACUAGAAAUGAAAUAAAUAAAGGAGAAUGGAAAUCAAGAGAUGGCAUUUGAAGUUUCACAAGCAUAGGAGGACUUCUCUAAGAAUGGAAAGCAAUGUGGCAGCAGACUGAUUCUGAUGGGUCCUUUUGUUUCAUAAAGCUUCAUCCAAAAGCCA